AGUGGCGACCGGGUGACUACCACUGUGACUACCUGCCCUUGAGUGGGGGAUAACCUCGGGAAACCGAGGCUAAUACCGCAUAAAAUCGAAAGAUCAAAGGAGCAGUCCGCUUUUGGAGGGGGUCGCGGCUGAUUAGCUAGUUGGUAGGGUAAUGGCCUACCAAGGCAAAGAUCGGUAUCCGGCCUGAGAGGGCGCACGGACACACUGGAACUGAAACACGGUCCAGACUCCUACGGGAGGCAGCAGUGGGGAAUUUUGCGCAAUGGGGGAAACCCUGACGCAGCAACGCCGCGUGGAGGAUGAAGCCCCUUGGGGUGUAAACUCCUUUCGACCGGGAAAAUAAUGAUGGUACCGGUGGAAGAAGCACCGGCUAACUCUGUGCCAGCAGCCGCGGUAAUAUAGAGGGUGCGAGCGUUGUUCGGAAUUAUUGGGCGUAAAGGACGCGUAGGCGGUGCGGUAAGUCACCUGUGAAACCUCUGGGCUUAACUCAGAGCCUGCAGGCGA
rnacentral:rRNA from 1 species